UCUCUAGCACAUCGGCCACUGACUCACUCUCUCUCGUUCUCCCUCUCUCUCUCCAUCUCUCUCUCUUUCUCUCUCUCUCUUUCACUCUCUGACAUUCCUGUCUGUUUGGAGUUCUGCAGAGCCGUCACCAGGAGGCUCUGUGGCCCUUACAAUGUAAACCCUGUUGGGUUUAUGCUGUUGAUCAUUAUUCACUGCUAAGACUGCUGGGCUCUGGAGCUGUGGGAGAGUGCCCACUCAGAGGAGGGGAGCGUGAACACAUUGAUUUUAUUUGGACAGGCUUUUGUCUGGGACACAUCCAAACCCAAACAGCCAAGGGAAGGACCACAACAGAGUUUUAUGGUGGAAAAAUACCCUGAAUGAUGCUGAUCCAAGCCGGAGGAUAGAGGAUGACUGCUCAUAAACUCAUGGAGGAAA